CUAGGAUCCUAAAUUAGACUAUCGUUUG
rnacentral:tRNA from 2 species